rnacentral:rRNA from 1 species
GCCCGCUCAAGAAACUACAAAUAGAUUAGGACGGGGCCCGCACAAGCGGAGAGCAUGUGGUUUAAUUCGAUGAUACGCGAGGAACCUUACCUGGGCUCGAACGUAAGAUGACUGUAGGUGAAAGCUUACAUCUCUUCGGAGCAUUUUUACGAGGUGCUGCAUGGUUGUCGUCAGCUCGUGCCGUGAGGUGUCGGUUAAGUCCCAUAACGAGCGCAACCCUACCUUUAGUUGCCAUCAGGUAAUGCUGGGGACUCUAAAGGAACUGCCUACGCAAGUAGUGAGGAAGGCGGGGAUGACGUCAAAUCAGCACGGCCCUUACGUCCAGGGCUACACACGUGCUACAAUGGCCGAUACAGAGGGCAGCUACCUGGUGACAGGAUGCAAAUCUCCAAAGUCGGUCUCAGUUCGGAUCGGAGUCUGCAACCCGACUCCGUGAAGUUGGAUUCGCUAGUAAUCGCGCAUCAGCCAUGGCGCGGUGAAUACGUUCCCGGGCCUU